CAGCAGCCGGGUAAUACCGGCGGCCCGAGUGGCGGUCACUAUUAUUGGGCUUAAAGCGUCCGUAGCCGGGUUGGGAAGUCCUCCGGGAAAUCUGGCCGCUUAACGGUCAGAAUGCCGGAGGAUACUCCCAGCCUAGGGAGCGGGAGAGGCCGAGGGUAUUCCCGGAGUAGGGGUGAAAUCCUAUAAUCCCGGGAGGACCACCUGUGGCGAAGGCGCUCGGCUGGAACGCGUCCGACGGUGAGGGACGAAGGCCAGGGGAGCAAACCGGAUUAGAUACCCGGGUAGUCCUGGCUGUAAACGAUGCGGACUUUGUGUCGGACAAGCUAUGAGCUUGUCCGGUGCCGGAGGGAAACCGUUAAGUCCGCCGCCUGGGGAGUACGGCCGCAAGGCUGAAACUUAAAGGAAUUGGCGGG
rnacentral:rRNA from 1 species